UACGUAGGGGGCAAGCGUUGUCCGGAUUUAUUGGGCGUAAAGAGCGUGUAGGCGGCCGUACAGGUCAGCUGUGAAAACUCGAGGCUCAACCUCGAGACGUCGGUUGAAACCGUACGGCUAGAGUCCGGAAGAGGAGAGUGGAAUUCCCGGUGUAGCGGUGAAAUGCGCAGAUAUCGGGAAGAACACCCGUGGCGAAGGCGGCUCUCUGGGACGGUACUGACGCUGGAGACGCGAAAGCGUGGGGAGCGAACGAGG
rnacentral:rRNA from 1 species